ensembl:lncRNA
GCCUAAUUUACAACUUGGUAAGAGGGGAGGCUGAGGGUCCAUCAUCCGUGUUUCAGAUGUGGUGAGGACCUCAGGGUCAAGGUCCGCCAGGGAAUCCAGACUGGCCCCUUCACCCUUGGUGGGGACACGGAUUUGCAGAGUAUGCUCAGCAGCCAGUGACAGCCUCCCGUUCUAAGAGAAAAAUGGACACUUUGGUUCCCAGCCAUUCUGCCAGAGAACCGAAGAUCACUGCAGUUUGAUUUUUACAGAGUCUGUAUCACUCUUGCAGCCUGGGACUCUGAGGUGCAAACUUGGCCAGCCCAGUGAGGUAAUUUUCGGGAUAAAGAAACUAAGAAUUAAAAGGUAAAGAGACUUGUCCAGUUAGAGGCAGAGCUGGAGUCUGGACCCAGAAAGUUAGACUCUAGAGCUUAAUCACAGCCCUGUACUGCCUUCCAUUGUUUUGAUAAAAGAAACACAGCACCUCUCAGUUGCGCUGUGGGAAAUGUUGCAGGCUGGUGUCUUUCCGUCUCAAAAUCAGUUUCUUCAGCCUACUUCCCAGUGCCCUAGGGUGUCCUUUGGUCUGAUCUUUGUUUAAAGCUGUCUUUCCUUCCUAUUAAAAUGUGCACACUUAAGGCUUUAUCCCCUCAAGGUCUUCAACACCCUUGAGCAUCAGUGGCUCUAAUAGCUCUAAGAGAUCAUUUUCUUCCAUUUUCAAGACCCCCAAAUUCAAAGGCUUGACAGUGUGGAAAUUUUAGACUCCAAAGGAAGCUUUCUGGGAUUCUUAAGUUGCUUUGAGAUGGGAAGCUUAGCUACGGGCCUGGAACACUUCUAACAGAGCCAAGAUUUCCCUAGCUAGCUCCUAUUAAUUUUGGGGAGAGAGAGAGCACGCAUGAGAUUGAGAGGAAAGAUAGCAAGAACCCUCAAGACUGAUGCUGUAGGUCAUCAUGCAUAGAUAUGCACUUACAUAAAGGCGUUCCAUGCUGUGUAGAGGGCGAAGCUGCUGCCGAGAAUCUGCUUCAAUUACGAUGGAACAUUUCAAUUCCGUCAUCUGCCACAUUCUCUAACCAGAGGUCUUUCAGCACAAGACAAGCUCGUGGGAAAGGGAUCUGAUCUGCGUGAGGGCUUAAUGCCAUGGCCUGUUCUGUAUGUAUCUGUGUUUGUAGAAAAAUUCAGUACUUAAUUGUAUGCUUGGCCUGCUCACCACUAAUUUCUAAAAGAGACAUUCCAAAGCCUUGGUUAGGUUCACUCAUAUCUCAUAAAAGCCAUAACUUGACUGCGGGCACCCCAGAACUAAUCCUGUGUGGAGACAGGGGCAGCAGUCACCUGGGAGAGUUGACGUUUUGGAAGCCCCAUUGUGCAGAGAAUUAUCAGUCCCCUCUCCAACAUCCAUUCCCCUUCCUCUUUCCUAAAUGCAUCCCGAAUUUCCCAGCAUGUGGUUUGAAGACUGGUUGAAGGGAGUUACCCAGUUCUUUUUUGGUUGAAGGCCAUCGGCCUGAUUCCUUCUACAGUGAAUUGGUUCAGGAGUGGGAAUGCGGUGUGAGUGGCUUCAGCAAGAGGAACCCCAGGAAUUCUUUUAAGCCUGUGGAGAAACGCUCUUUCCCUUGAGAUAUGAAUGAGAAAUAUGAGCCCUAUUAGCUCUCCUGUGACCCUGAGAGUCAAGUUGGCUUUAGGAUGAAGAGGAUGCUAAGAAAGGUCCACAGAAAGCUGGGAAGGAAAUGGAUGCUGAGCACCGUUGUUCAGUCACUCAAUCAGACCAUACCUGAAGCCUGUUCUACCUCCAAGAACGUCAGUUCCCUGUAAAGCUUGAGCCUGAGUAGGGGUUUCUGUUACUCGAAGUGAAAAUAACCUGUACUAUUACACCCACCCACCAAAGUGUUGUCCUUUCCUGGUCUGCUUGUGACUGGAAACAGCUGCUAAUAAAAUCAUGCUACACGCAUUACUUCAGGAAACAUUACUCUGGAAUUCCCAUCCCAGGAGGAGUUCCUAAUCUUGUGGAGGAGAAAGAUGUGUCGUGCUACAACAGAUUGGCACAAUCAGUCCUGAGAUGUAGCUGGGACAUGUGCACACAGAGUGACGGGGACCCCAGAGCUUGAAUGCAGUUUCAUGUUGCUGAGCAUCGUUUCAAUAAGAGAAGCAAAGAGCCUCCUAAUUGGGAUAUAGGCUCUGCCCAGAGGAUUGUGGGGAGGUUUUAACAAACAAUAUCUCUGAGAAUGUCAUCACCCACCAAGCACUGUUCUAGGUAGUGGAGAUAGUGCGGUCAGCCUCAGUUGGCUUGGGCUGCUAUAACAAAUACCGGCAACUGGGUAGCUUAUACAACAAGCAUUAUUUCGGACACUUCUGGAGAGUAGAGAGUCCAAGAUCAAGGUGCUGGUUCAUUUUGCC